GGAUGUGAGGGCGAUCUGGCUGCGACAUCUGUCCCCAUUGAUCGCCAGGGUUGAUUCGGCUGAUCUGGCUGGCUAGGCGGGUGUCCCCUUCCUCCCUCACCGCUCCAUGUGCGUCCCUCCCGAAGCUGCGCGCUCGGUCGAAGAGGACGACCAUCCCCGAUAGAGGAGGACUGUUCUUCGGUCAAGGGUAUACGAGUAGCUGCGCUCCCCUGCUAGAACCUCCAAACAAGCUCUCAAAAUAUAACCAACACAGGAUAAACCAGUUUAUGAGUAAUAUUGCCUACAGAUUUAGCAAUGUGGAGCAUUUCAAU
rnacentral:snRNA from 1 species